rnacentral:lncRNA from 1 species
UUUUCUAAUAAUUCACUUGUUCCAAGAAUUAACUGUCUCAAGUUCAGCAUGAUUGUCUCUCUCUGAUUCACACAACAAGGCCCUAACACAUUUUGUACCAAAUAGUCUACCGACUAAGCUUUCAUCCUCACCUGCAAUGUUCAAUAGAGAAUAAUAAGGUUCAACAAGGCCAUAUAGAAAAAUUUGGCCUUCUACAAAGCUUGAAUUAUGGGCAACAUAUCUGAAGAAAUUCAUAAGAGAGUAAGGUCAACAAAGGAAAUUCACAAGAGAGUAAGCCCAACACUGAUCCCUCUCCUUCUAUACCAACAUCGCUCACCUUCCAGCCCAACAUCACUCCCUCGAUGCCAAUCAUGACCAGAUCAUGAAACCAGGACGAAGAGAGGGGGGUGAGGGGGAGAGGCCGCACCUCAAGCAUGUCGUCGGCAAAUCCAAAACCGCGGCGCACGUGAGAGGGGAUCCUGGGGAUGAGCAGACGACCUUUGGAAGAAAAACCAGGGAGGGUGGAGGCCACCAACGCCUUGCCCCGACAGGAGCUUGGGGGAGCACCGCCCGUGCAU